rnacentral:misc_RNA from 1 species
AUAAAACUCGAUACUCCAAACUUGCCUGGAAACACUUCCAAAGAUGGUAAACAAGUUAUGACAGAAACACGGCACAUGGUUUAAAAUCAACACAACCUACUAAAAUGUCGAGUUUGGAAAUCGUUACGAAAGAAGUGGACAAAUUGUAUAAGUUUAGAGACCAUUUUGUUGAAAACCAUGGAAUUGAGAAGGCAGCACAGAAAACAGAAGAAGUCAGUAAACUUAUGAAGGAAACAUUGCAAGCACUGGAAACUCAUAAAGACAGCAUCAAUGACAAGGCAGUGUUCUUCAUGCUACAAGGUAAAACCCUGAAUGUCCUCCCCUCCUACAGCCCUGAGGCCGAGGAAGCUCUGUCCAAAGCUGUCAAGCUCGACCCCAAGCUAGUGGAGGCCUGGAACCAGUUGGGAGAAAACUACUGGAAAAAAGGAAAAGUUCCUCUGGCCAAAAAUUGCUUCACGGGAGCCUUGAAUCAUUCAAAGAAUAAAAUAUCCUUACGUAACUUGUCAAUGGUGUUACGGCAGAUAGGAGGAAAUCCAUCCGAACGAGCUAAGCAGGUAGAGGAGAGUGUGGAAAAAGCCAAAGAAGCAGUACAGAUGGACAUUCAAGAUGGAACUUCAUGGUUGAUUUUAGGAAAUGCCUACAUGUCUCUUUUCUUUGCUGUUGGCCAAGCAUCACAAGCUUUGGAUCAAAGCAUGAAAGCUUAUGCCCAAGCAGUGAGUGACUGAAUCCUCUGACUUUAAUAGAAACAAACUAAUAAUUUAGACUUUUGUAGAAAUAUAUGCCACAGUACUAAUGAUGUUAAAACUACCGGUAAUUGUAAUAGAUAUCUAUUCUUACUUCUAUUCUUAUUUCUUACUGGCUAUAAAUGCAUUAUUUUUAAGAAAAAUGUAUUUUUUAAAAUUGGUAAUGCAGCAAUUUUAAUUCUAAUGUUUAAGGCCAUUAAUUCUACAUUUUUAAUUUCACAGGAAAAAGACCCAGUUGCAAGAGAUAACCCUGACCUGCAUUUUAACCGAGCUGUGGCCUACAAAUACGAGGAGAACUACCCCCAGGCCUUGGCUGGGUUUUCCCGGGCGUCCCAACUGGACCCUAGCUGGCCUGACCCCCAAACCCAAGAGGCACAUCUCCUGACCUUCCUAUCUAAUGUGAAAGAGCUGACUCAAGCCAAGGGCAAAAUAAAACCCAAAAGGUUGCAGACUAUGAUUGAGGGUUUAAAAUCCUCGGACCUUGGGCCGUACAGUGGAGGUACUUAUACCAGCCCACUAGGAAUAUCAGUGGAUUUAAGCAAGUGUAAAUUCAGUGAACUGAAAGCAGAAGUCAACCACAAUAAGGUCAUUCUGGGCAAGGUUGUCUGUACCAUAGCAACCAGUGAACCCGUACCUUUUACGUUUUGUAUGGUGGACGAUGAUGAGACAUGUUUACCGGUGACUGUGUACAACAUUGCUCAGGGGAGCGGGGUCAAAAUAGGGGACAGUGUUGCUAUUCCUGAACCUUACCUGCAAAAUGUCAAGGUCAACCAUAAAAACCAGGAGUUUGACUUUAGAAGCAUUCGAGUGAAUUCACCAAUUGUGUUAGUUGUGAACGGGAAAAAGUUUGGGAUUGACAAACAAGCUCCUUCAGUUCUGGCAGUGCAUGCCAUGUGUGACUGAUUCAUCUCAACGUUCAUAAAAACUGAUCAUCUUACAGCUACAUGUAGCUCUAAAUGGACUGUAUCAUCAUGCCUAUAGCAUUUCUGUGAAAAUCCGUCAUUACCAUUAGAUUGAUAUUUUAAUAAAUGUACUAAAAUGCAAGGCAAUUCCUUGCAUUAAUUUAUUUGCAAUAAAAAAUUAACUUUUUCC